rnacentral:rRNA from 1 species
CUUAUUAAAUCAGCUAUGGUUCCUUAGAUGGUACGUACAGUUACUUGGAUAACUGUGGCAAUUCUAGAGCUAAUACAUGCAAACCGAGUUCCGACCGCUUAGCAGGCGGAAGGAAUGCUUUUAUUAGAUCAAAACCAAUCGAACUCUACUCGCAUGGGUUCGUUUAAGUCUUGGUGACUCUGAAUAACUUUGUGCUGAUCGCACGGUCCCGCACCGGCGACGCAUCUUUCAAAUGUCUGACUUAUCAACUUUCGAUGGUAAGCUCUGCGCCUACCAUGGUCGUAACGGGUAACGGGGAAUCAGGGUUCGAUUCCGGAGAGGGAGCCUGAGAAACGGCUACCACAUCCAAGGAAGGCAGCAGGCGCGCAAAUUACCCACUCCCGGCACGGGGAGGUAGUGACGAAAAAUAACGAUGCAGAACUCUUUCCGAGGCUCUGCAAUCGGAAUGAGAACACUCUAAAUCAUUUAACGAGUAUCCAUUGGAGGGCAAGUCUGG